rnacentral:rRNA from 1 species
GAUGAACGCUGGCGGCGUGCCUAACACAUGCAAGUCGAGCGAUCUCUUCGGAGAGAGCGGCGGACGGGUGAGUAACGCGUGGGUAACCUGCCCUGUACACACGGAUAACAUACCGAAAGGUAUACUAAUACGGGAUAACAUAUGAAAGUCGCAUGGCUUUUAUAUCAAAGCUCCGGCGGUACAGGAUGGACCCGCGUCUGAUUAGCUAGUUGGUAAGGUAAUGGCUUACCAAGGCAACGAUCAGUAGCCGACCUGAGAGGGUGAUCGGCCACACUGGAACUGAGACACGGUCCAGACUCCUACGGGAGGCAGCAGUGGGGAAUAUUGCACAAUGGGCGAAAGCCUGAUGCAGCAACGCCGCGUGAGCGAUGAAGGCCUUCGGGUCGUAAAGCUCUGUCCUCAAGGAAGAUAAUGACGGUACUUGAGGAGGAAGCCCCGGCUAACUACGUGCCAGCAGCCGCGGUAA